rnacentral:rRNA from 1 species
UACGUAGGGGGCGAGCGUUAUCCGGAUUCACUGGGUGUAAAGGGAGCGUAGACGGCCAUGCAAGCCAGGGGUGAAAGCCCGGGGCCCGACCCCGGGACUGCCCUUGGAACUGCAUGGCUGGAGUGCGGGAGGGGCAGGCGGAAUUCCUGGUGUAGCGGUGAAAUGCGUAGAUAUCAGGAGGAACACCAGUGGCGAAGGCGGCUUGCUGGACGAUGACUGACGUUGAGGCUCGAAAGCGUGGGGAGCAAACAGG